CAGCAGCAGCCGCGGGAAUACGUAGGUGGCAAGCGUUGUCCGGAAUUAUUGGGCGUAAAGGGCUCGCAGGCGGUUUCUUAAGUCUGAUGUGAAAGCCCCCGGCUCAACCGGGGAGGGUCAUUGGAAACUGGGAAACUUGAGUGCAGAAGAGGAGAGUGGAAUUCCACGUGUAGCGGUGAAAUGCGUAGAGAUGUGGAGGAACACCAGUGGCGAAGGCGACUCUCUGGUCUGUAACUGACGCUGAGGAGCGAAAGCGUGGGGAGCGAACAGGAUUAGAUACCCCAGUAGUCCCUGUCUCUUAUAC
rnacentral:rRNA from 1 species